UACGUAGGGUGCGAGCGUUGUCCGGAAUUAUUGGGCGUAAAGAGCUUGUAGGCGGUUUGUCGCGUCUGCUGUGAAAUCUCAAGGCUCAACCUUGAGCUUGCGGUGGGUACGGGCAGACUAGAGUGUGGUAGGGGAGACUGGAAUUCCUGGUGUAGCGGUGAAAUGCGCAGAUAUCAGGAGGAACACCGAUGGCGAAGGCAGGUCUCUGGGCCACUACUGACGCUGAGAAGCGAAAGCAUGGGGAGCGAACAGG
rnacentral:rRNA from 1 species